AUUGAACGCUGGCGGCAGGCCUAACACAUGCAAGUCGAACGGUAACAGGAAGCAGCUUGCUGCUUUGCUGACGAGUGGCGGACGGGUGAGUAAUGUCUGGGAAACUGCCCGAUGGAGGGGGAUAACUACUGGAAACGGUAGCUAAUACCGCAUAACGUCGCAAGACCAAAGAGGGGGACCUUAGGGCCUCUUGCCAUCGGAUGUGCCCAGAUGGGAUUAGCUAGUAGGUGGGGUAACGGCUCACCUAGGCAACGAUCCCUAGCUGGUCUGAGAGGAUGACCGGCCACACUGGAACUGAGACACGGUCCAGACUCCUACGGGAGGCAGCAGUGGGGAAUAUUGCACAAUGGGCGCAAGCCUGAUGCAGCCAUGCCGCGUGUAUGAAGAAGGCCUUCGGGUUGUAAAGUACCUUCAGCGGGGAGGAAGGGAGUAAAGUUAAUACCUUUGCUCAUUGACGUUACCCGCAGAAGAAGCACCGGCUAACUCCGUG
rnacentral:rRNA from 1 species